GAUCCGCCCGUCUCAGCCUCCGAAAGUGCUGGGAUUACAGGUGUGAGCCACCAUACCUGGCCAACCAUGCGUUUCUUAAAGAUAAGUGUUGUGGUUUGCUUUUGGGGAAAAGAGAAAAGGAUUUGUGGUUUUAGUUAGUAAAAUCAUUGAGAGGGAAGGAGACCCAAUUUAUGGAUUAUAGACAUUUGAAAAAAAAUUGUAAUUCCCUUUUCUGUUGUUGGGAUACCAGUUUUUGAUUUUAUUUGUUCAUUAAAUGGUCAGUUCCGUGGAGAUCUCUGGAGCUGAGAUGGCUUUUUAGAAUUGCCCAAUUGAGGCAAAGGGCCAGGGCUUUUUAACCACUGCAUUGGCCAGCCAUUGUCUGUGGGCUUCUCCCAGGGAAGGGCCCUAGUGUUGGGUGAGGCACCUUCCUGCUGCUUGAGACACACUCGGCUGUGAGCCAGCAGCAGGCAGUUCUCCUAGUACCUGGGGGCCUCAAUCCGAAAGAUGCAGUUUAGCCACACAACCUGUAUUAGUUCAUUUUUUGCAUUGCCAUAAAGGAAUACCUGGAGCUGGGUAAUUUAUAACGAAAAGAGGUUAAUUUUGGCUUAUGAUUCUGCAGACUGUACGAGAAGCAUGGCAUCGGCAUCUGCUUUUGUGAAGCCUCAGGAAGCUCACAAUCAUGGCAGGAGGUGAAGGGGGAGCAAGAGUGUCACAUGGCUCAGCAUUACAGUGGGAAAAGUCAAGUAUUUUAGGCUCACACAGAUUUUUCUCUCAGUGACGUGGCAGUUCAUACUUUCCCUCCAAAUAUGACCUGGUAAAUGACUCUGUGGCAUGUUGACUGCAAAUCUGAACUGAAAUGGAAUCUGUAACCCAUUAUCAGAUCCUGAAUCAAGCUGCCUUGUCCUUCUCCAGUUUUUGUUUCAGUGGAAAUGUGUGUUUUUAUUCUGUCAAUGGACAGUUUACAUACCUAAUAUUAAAAGGGAAUUAUAUAAUGAACACUUGAUGUAAAAGAGACUAGUUAAAUACUUCAACUCCAAAAGUUUCCAUUAAAGUAAUAAGGAAAUUACAUUUAAUUUUAACUGGUAGAAAGUUUUAAAAAAUGUUAUUGCUAUUAAGCAUUUAUUACCCACACUCAACCCUUUUUUUGUGAGUGAAUUCCCAAAGCACAAUUCAUCUUUAUACAGGUAGAAAGGAAAUAUUCUUGCAAAAUAUGUAGUUUGAUGUCAUCUUAACUGUGGAGAGAAGCAUAUUUUUCCAAAGAAUAGAAUGUGAUGGUUGAUUGGAAACUUUUGGAGUUACAGGCUAGCUCUACCUCUUGAAAUAAGAAAAUAUAUAUAAAUAGGUCCCCAGAUGAAGGCGUCGUGGGGUACUUUACAGCCCCAAUUGGCUCCAGACACAGAGGCAGUGAUUUGUAAGCAAGCAAUGACAAGAGGAAGUUAAAUCAAAAUUAAAUUAAGAGAAGGAAGAAAAAGAAGAGCUAUCAAGGAGAGGUGAUGAAUUUCCUGAAAGCUUCUAAAUACCUAUCUGUGGGUAAAUGAUUGAAAAUCUGUGAAUAUAUCUCACUUAUGUCAAAAGAUGAAAUCUGGAAACAUUUCAGUCCUAAAAAAAUACCUUACUUGUUAUCUUUGAAGCCUUUUUUUAUUUUUUCAAUUUUUUUUUUGGAGAUAGAGUCUCACUAUGUUGCCCAGGCUGACCUCAAACUCUUGGGCUCAAGCGUCCUCCUGCCUCAGCCUUCUGAGUAGCUGGGAUUAUGCAUGUACACCACCAUGCCUGGCUUCAGAAGUCUUUUCAAAUAUUCAUUACUUGGUACAGUUCAACCAGUACAAGCAUAUUUGCUUCUAUACUUUCCCGUUGACUCAACUGCGAUAAAAUCAGCAUCUUCCAUGGUGCACAUGAAGUCGUAUAUUGGGAGGAUUGGUUUUCCUGUUUACAUUUUGACGUUUUGUUGUUGUUCCAGCUUGUGUAAAUAAAAAUUUAGGAAUUCGAACUCACCAGA